rnacentral:snoRNA from 1 species
UAGCAAUGAUGUUCAUUGGUAAUUUGCGCCUGAAAUCAAAAUGAUGUGAUUUUUACCUGAGCUAU